GGGUUGUGAGGUUAAGCGAAUAAGCGUACACGGUGGAUGCCUAGGCAAUCAGAGGCGAUGAAGGACGUGCUAAUCUGCGAUAAGCGUCGGUAAGGUGAUAUGAACCGUUAUACCCGACGAUUUCCGAAUGGGGAAACCCAAUAUCCAAUGGAUAUUAUCAUGACGUGAAUACAUAGCGUCAUGAAGCGAACCGGGAGAACUGAAACAUCUCAGUACCCCGAGGAAAAGAAAUCAACCGAGAUUCCCCUAGUAGCGGCGAGCGAACGGGGAACAGCCCAGAGUCUUAAUCAAUAGCAGCAUCAGGAGAACGGUCUGGAAAGUCCGGCAGUAAAGGGUGAUAGCCCCGUAUCUGAAGAUGCUGUUAUUGUGAACUCGACGAGUAGGGCGGGACACGUGUUAUCCUGUCUGAAUAUGGGGGGACCAUCCUCCAAGGCUAAAUACUCCUGAUUGACCGAUAGUGAACCAGUACCGUGAGGGAAAGGCGAAAAGAACCCCGGCGAGGGGAGUGAAAAAGAACCUGAAACCGUGUACGUACAAGCAGUAGGAGCCUCUUUAUGGGGUGACUGCGUACCUUUUGUAUAAUGGGUCAGCGACUUAUAUUCUGUAGCGAGGUUAACCGUAUAGGGGAGCCGUAGGGAAACCGAGUCUUAACUGGGCGAAUGAGUUGCAGGGUAUAGACCCGAAACCCGGUGAUCUAUCCAUGGGCAGGUUGAAGGUUGGGUAACACUAACUGGAGGACCGAACCGACUAAUGUUGAAAAAUUAGCGGAUGACUUGUGGAUGGGGGUGAAAGGCCAAUCAAACCGGGAGAUAGCUGGUUCUCCCCGAAAGCUAUUUAGGUAGCGCCUCGUGAACUCAUCUUCGGGGGUAGAGCACUGUUUCGACUAGGGGGUCAUCCCGACUUACCAACUCGAUGCAAACUGCGAAUACCGAAGAAUGUUAUCACGGGAGACACACGGCGGGUGCUAACGUCCGUCGUGAAGAGGGAAACAACCCAGACCGCCAGCUAAGGUCCCAAAGUCAUGGUUAAGUGGGAAACGAAGUGGGAAGGCUCAGACAGCCAGGAUGUUGGCUUAGAAGCAGCCAUCAUUUAAAGAAAGCGUAAUAGCUCACUGGUCGAGUCGGCCCGCGCGGAAGAUGUAACGGGGCUAAACCAUGCACCGAAGCUGCGGCAGCGACACUUAUGUGUUGUUGGGUAGGGGGAGCGUUCUGUAAGCCUGCGAAGGUGUGCUGUGAGGCAUGCUGGAGGUAUCAGAAGUGCGAAUGCUGACAUAAGUAACGAUAAUGCGGGUGAAAAACCCGCACGCCGGAAGACCAAGGGUUCCUGUCCAACGUUAAUCGGGGCAGGGUGAGUCGACCCCUAAGGCGAGGCUGAAAAGCGUAGUCGAUGGGAAACGGGUUAAUAUUCCCGUACUGGUGGUAACUGCGAUGGGGGAACGGAGAAGGCUAGGUUGUCCGGGCGACGGUCGUCCCGGUUCAAGCAUGUAGGCAGAGUGAUUAGGCAAAUCCGGUCACUUAAUGCUGAGGUGUGAUGACGAGCCACUAAGGUGGUGAAGCAAUUGAUGCCCUGCUUCCAGGAAAAGCCUCUAAGCUUCAGGUUACCAACAAUCGUACCCCAAACCGACACAGGUGGUCAGGUAGAGAAUACUCAGGCGCUUGAGAGAACUCGGGUGAAGGAACUAGGCAAAAAUGGUGCCGUAACUUCGGGAGAAGGCACGCUGGCGGUAAGUGAAGUCCCUUGCGGACGGAGCCGAAGCCAGUCGAAGAUACCAGCUGGCUGCAACUGUUUAUUAAAAACACAGCACUGUGCAAACACGAAAGUGGACGUAUACGGUGUGACGCCUGCCCGGUGCUGGAAGGUUAAUUGAUGGGGUUAUCCUUAGGGAGAAGCUCUUGAUCGAAGCCCCCAGUAAACGGCGGCCGUAACUAUAACGGUCCUAAGGUAGCGAAAUUCCUUGUCGGGUAAGUUCCGACCUGCACGAAUGGCGUAAUGAUGGCCAGGCUGUCUCCACCCGAGACUCAGUGAAAUUGAACUCGCUGUGAAGAUGCAGUGUACCCGCGGCAAGACGGAAAGACCCCGUGAACCUUUACUAUAGCUUGACACUGAACAUUGAGCCUUGAUGUGUAGGAUAGGUGGGAGACUAUGAAGUGUGGACGCCAGUCUGCAUGGAGUCAACCUUGAAAUACCACCCUUUAACGUUUGAUGUUCUAACCUAGGUCCAUAAUCUGGAUCGGGGACCGUGUCUGGUGGGUAGUUUGACUGGGGCGGUCUCCUCCUAAAGAGUAACGGAGGAGCACGAAGGUUGGCUAAGCAUGGUCGGACAUCAUGCGGUUAGUGCAAAGGCAUAAGCCAGCUUGACUGUGAGAGUGACGGCUCGAGCAGGUACGAAAGUAGGUCUUAGUGAUCCGGUGGUUCUGAAUGGAAGGGCCAUCGCUCAACGGAUAAAAAGGUACCCGGGGAUAACAGGCUGAUACCGCCCAAGAGUUCAUAUCGACGGCGGUGUUUGGCACCUCGAUGUCGGCUCAUCACAUCCUGGGGCUGAAGUAGGUCCCAAGGGUAUGGCUGUUCGCCAUUUAAAGUGGUACGCGAGCUGGGUUUAGAACGUCGUGAGACAGUUCGGUCCCUAUCUCGCCGUGGGCGUUGGAAGAUUGAGAGGGGUUGCUCCUAGUACGAGAGGACCGGAGUGAACGCACCACUGGUGUUCGGGUUGUCAUGCCAAUGGCAUUGCCCGGUAGCUAAGUGCGGAAGAGAUAACCGCUGAAAGCAUCUAAGCGGGAAACUUGCCUCGAGAUGAGUCUUCCCUGUCACCUUGAGUGACCUAAAGGAACGUUUAAGACUAAGACGUUGAUAGGCUGGGUGUGUAAGCGUAGCGAUACGUUGAGCUAACCAGUACUAAUGAACCGUGAGGCUUAACCUGACAACACCGAAGGUGUUU
rnacentral:rRNA from 1 species